AUCUUUUUUGCGCAAGAGUUAGCCUAUUUUAAGUACAACUUAACAGAUGAAAUACAGGGGCAAUUAACUCAUUGUAUAGGGGCAGGUAACUCGUGGUCGCCGCCCUGCAAGCGGUACCAAAUAGCGUUAACCGAAGGUAACUCGUGGUCGCCGCCCUGCAAGCGGUACCAAAUAGGAAUUACGGACGUUUCGGGAGCCCGACGUUUCGGGACCCGGAUGUUUCGGGACUAGACAACACGUUUCGGGACUUCGAUUAACAUGUUUCGGGACUUCAGAAACUGUAUCCAUGCACUCUGUGGUAUAUGAAAGUUGUAUGAAACGUCAUUUUCAUUAGCCGGGUCAUUUGAUUGUCAGCACGUCGCCGGGUAUACCCAGUUCGAGUCGGCCGGAUUUUUCAGAAUCAAGUAUGCUAAUUAUAAUAUUAAAUUUUGUAUAAUAUUCAAAAUCUUACUGUAGAUUCAUCCUCCUGUUCAUCUUCAUCAUCGGGUUCAGCAACUGAUGAACCAAGGGAGGCUAUUGACACGUGAAAUGUGGCAUCAGCUGCAGCUACAAACUGAAAGAAUAUAAUAUAUUUUUAUAGAAGUGUCUAACAGGGAUUCAUCUACUGAGUGUUCCUGACAUGAAGAAUUAAUUUAUCCAUUUUAAAACCUUAAUUGUCCUAUGUGGAAGCAAAUGUCAAGGAUAUUUCGUUACUAAUUUCCAAUUAUAUGUUCUUAAUUAUUUCAAGAUGUUUAAUACAAAUGUUCUUAAUGUUAUUGCAUUCAUGUAAAUAUAACGUAUACCAGUACCUCUUCUGUAUCAGUAGGAUUUUCCAAGCACCGGGCGCAAACCCACUGGAGGUCUUCUUGCAGUUUCCCUAUUCGUCUAUACUGGUCACGGCUGAUUCCUGUCAUAUUAUUAAAAUUUGUGUUCCAUUACAUUGUUCAUUUGAUGGAAUUUUUUAAUCAUUACUAUACAACUGCUUUCCAUUCUUAUUUUUCAUUAAGUAAAAGAAUAAAAUCA